UACGAAGGGAGCUAGCGUUGUUCGGAAUUACUGGGCGUAAAGGGCGCGUAGGCGGUUAUGUAAGUCAGAUGUGAAAGCCCCGGGCUCAACCUGGGAUGUGCAUUUGAAACUGUGUAACUAGAGAUCGAAAGAGGAAAGUGGAAUUGCGAGUGUAGAGGUGAAAUUCGUAGAUAUUCGCAGGAACACCAGUGGCGAAGGCGACUUUCUGGUUCGAUACUGACGCUAAGGCGCGAAAGCGUGGGGAGCAAACAGG
rnacentral:rRNA from 1 species